rnacentral:antisense_RNA from 1 species
GCCCCAGUACGUUGAAAAAGAAGGUGAAGAAGAUCUCAUCCAGAAAGCCGUGCAUUCCGAAGAAAAGAAAGCGGGGAUGGUGUAUCCCUUCCUGUCUGCUGAUCCACUGGGGCUGUCCCAGAAAGAGAACUAGGACGCUACUCUUUCCCAUGCCUUCCUUGUCCACAGGUCAUAGAAAAUGAAACAGACUGCUGUUUUCAUGAGUGACCUGUUCUCUAGACUAAGAGUCUCUUGGGCCACCCAACCCCACAGAGGCCAGUAGGAGGUCAACUCCCCGCCUCCCUAAAAAAAAGAAAAAAACGAGUGUGCGAGAAGUAUGUUGUAAUUGGAAGUGGCAUACUGCCUGCCACCCAAGAGGUUGCUCUGUAAGUGAAUUGCCUUUCACCUUCUGCCAUGAUUCUGAGGCCUCCAGCCAUGUGGAACUGGAGAAGGGAGAUGAAAUAAUACCAGCAUCCUGAACCUGAAUGUCCAGCUUCCACUUGUUCUUCAUGGAUUAUAAGACCAUUGAUUAAAUAAAUCCUUUCAUGAAAAUUAUCUUAAAAAAGAAACUACCAUCUAAAUCUAGUUAUUCCAUCUGACUUAGUAGCAGUGAUGUUUGGAGUUUAGGACCAAAAGGUGAAAUGAUAUAUGUAUAUAUAUACAUAUGUACUCACACAGACACAUACACACACACACACAUAUGUAUGUGUGUUGCCUAGAAAGCAAGUGGGUAGAAAUUGUGGGAUUAGAAUUAGGAUUAUGGGGAUCUAACUGCAUCCAUGUCAUUCUAGGAGAAACAGUUCUAAGAACAAAUGCUGAAGGCAAACAAAUGAUGCAUUCUCAAAUGAAAGACAGAGGUCUGAACUGAGAUUGUGCCCAUCAAUUCCUGAGAAGAGAAUUUUAACAAAACGCAGCUGAAAGAGAUGCAAGCUAAAGCCAGGCCACAAAUUUUAUUUACUUAAAAAUAUCGGGGAGCAUCCAUUUUUCCUCUUUCAACAUGACAUGUAAGACAAAGCAUACUGUUGAAAAGAAAAAUAAAAUUAUGUUUUAAUAACUCAAAGAAGGAACACAUACAUGAAAGUGGUUUCUCACUGGAACCUGCAAUAGUUACAAAGGAGACAGUGAGCAUCAGACAUCUGGGUUGUGGGCUCCCCUACACUUCCGUGAGAUUAUCCACACAACCAUGAAUUCUUGGGUGAGCGGGCAAUUUUGCUGAUAAGAGUGGAUGGCUACAAGAAAUGAAUCACCCCAACACUGGCCAGACUUUCACCUAUAAUCUUGGGUUAGUUGUCUCAUUGAGUAGAAUAGAAAAAUAGCAUCAAUAUGAAAUAUUUUUUAAGUAGGUAACUUUAGGAUUUUUCUUCUGAGCAACACACAAGCAAAAAAGAAAAAAAAAAAAGAAAAAAGAGAAAAACCACUGACCAUAAAUGGCUUAAUCUCCAGGCACAGCCUCCAGUGUUGCUCCAGAUUCAAAUUGACAUUUGAUGACAAUAUAAGACAUUCAUCUCUUGUGAAUCUAUUGUGAGAAAUAGGAAAUCUAUUUCUCUAUGGUUUUUUAGUAGUAUGGGCUGAACUGUGUCUCUUCUUCCCAAAGUUAACAUGCUGAAACACUAACCUUCAGUACUUCAGAAUGUGAUAUUACUGGAAACAGGGCCUUUAAAGAGGCAAUUAAGUUAAAAUGAGGCAAUGAAGUUGGGCCCUAAUUCAAUUUUAAUGGUGUUCUCAUAUAAAGGGGAAAAUCUGGGUGCUCGGAAAGACACCAGAAGCACAUACGCAGAAGAAAGAUCAUAUGAAGACACAACAAGAAGGUGACUAGCUGCAAGCCAAGAAGAGAGGCCUCAGAAGAAACCAAACGUACUAGCACCUUGAUCUUGGAAUUCCAGUCUCCGAAGCUGUGAGAAAAUAAAAUUCUGUUGCUUAAGCUGCCAAGACUAUGGUAUUUUCUUAUAGCAAUCUUAGCAAAAUAACCCUAUUAGCAAACAAAUGCAUACAAAAUCUCUGUAAAUACAGCAGGUUUCUUUUUUUUAAAAAAAAAAAAACUCUUUAUUUUGAAAAAUUAUAGUUCUACAACAAAUAAUAAAAAACACAUAAAGGACGGUCCUAUUUACUCUUGACUCAGUUUCUCUCAUAGUAACAUCUUACGUAACUACUAGAAAAAUGAUGUUGAUACAUUCCACAUAUCUUGUUAAAAUUUAACCAGUUUUACAUGUAUUAAUUUGUUUGUUCUAUGCAAUUUUCUUACAUGUGUAGACCCAUGUUACCACUACCAUAGAGAAAAUACAGAAUCAUUCCAUCACAAGAGGCUCCUUCAUGCUGUCUCUUUAUACUCAUUCUUACCUCUUUCUCUAGCUCAUCCCUAACCCCUCACGACCAUUAAUCUGUUCUCCAUCUCUACAACCCUGUUAUUUCAAGAAUGCCAUAUAAUGAGAUUCAAAAUUAAGUGAAGUUUUGGGACUGCCUAUUUUCACUCAGAAUAAUUCUCUUGAAAUUCAGCCAAGUUUUUGUGUGCAACAAUAACUCAUUCCUUCUUAUUGCGGAGUAGUAGUCCAUGAUGUGGAUGCCCUACAGGUUCCUUAACCACUUACUAGGAUAUUACAGUUGUUUACAGUUUGAAGCUAUUAUGACUAAAGCUGAUGCUAACAUUUAUGUAUAAGUUUUUAUACAGAAAUAUGUCUCCAUUUCUCUGGAAAAAAAAUCCCAAGGGUACAAUUGCUGAGUCAAAUGUUAAGUGAAUGUUUACUUUAAAAGUGUUAUAUUGUUUUUUAGAGUGGGUGUACCAUUUUACAUUACCACCAGCAAUGUAUAAGAGGUCCUGUUUCUCAGUAUCAGGCAAUAGAUAAUAUAUGUGCCAUGUAUACAUUUCCAGAACAUGAAACUAUAGGAAUCUUCUUUUGUUUUAUUAUGUUAGCAUACCCUUCACACUCAAACCUAGCUGUGUGCUGAAAAGGUGAUUCUCUGGAAUUUAAGGAACUUAAAACCCCUGAUUUAUAGCAACUGUGUAUUUGCCAGUUGUGGCUAUUUCCCACCAUGGUUUGCAAACUACCCACAUGACUUAAUUGAAAGUGAAUUAAGGAAAAAAAUACUCACAAGUAGUUCUUACACAGUUCUCACUGGCACAAGCCAGUUCCAGCACACCGCUGCACAUACACAAACAUAGGCACACAUGCAUACACACAUAUAUACACACAUGCAUAUUCACAGACACAAAAAAACACAGAUGCAUAGAGACACCAGAUUUAUCUCCUUCAUUCGUAUAGAUGGACAAUUAAAUAAGAUGACAAGAUGAAUUUAAUAACAUGACAUAAUCAAAUGUAGAGGCAGAUAUAAAAUACGUAGAGUAUGAAACUAUGAAACAAUUUUGGAAAUAAAAGUGUAUAUUAAUGUGCAAAUAUAUGUAUAGAAUAUGAGACUGAAAACACCAAAAUGUUGAUAGUGUUUAUUUCUGGGUAGUUGAUGACAGGUGAAUUUAGUUUUUCUGAUUGUGCUUUUCUUUAUCUUUAAGAAACAUGUUUUCUUUUAAUCAGAAAGAAAUAAUUACAUAUAUAUGUAAUUAACAUAUAUUGUAUAAUAUAUAUCACAUAUAUUCCACAUAUAUGGAAUAUAUAUUGUAUUUUAAAGUUUAAAAUCUGAGGAGAACACGUCAAUGAGGAACUUGGAACCAAAUAAAACAUGGAUAAGUGACAAUAUUGUGGAAUAGAGUAAAAAUUCAGCUCAGAAAUAGUGAAGCUUAUUUUAAAUGGAAACUAAAAUAAGAUCAUGUGGAUUAAAUUAGAAAUAUUUCCAGGAGAAGAUAUGUUUGAGCAUAACUUUCCUCUCCUCCCUAUCUGAGGAAAAUUCUGGAAGAGACUUCAUACAUAUCUAUAUUUGUAUCUAUGUCAGAAAAGGAGAGAAGUAAGGCCUGGGAGGCAGCUUGCUGUUGUGAAAGGAAAAUGAAGUCAAAUGAUCCUUAAUUUGGAUACUCUUUCUUACCAAGUUACUUCCUCAAAGCCUCAAUUUCUUUUUCUCUAGCAUGAGAUUAAUAUUCAUGAUUCAUUAGAAGGUUAAACAAAGCAAUUUUUACAAAGUGAAAAGCAAAUUUUACAAAGAAGGCUUUCAUUUUGUUCUGUCCUAUUUUAUUCUAAAUUAUGGUAUGUCACCCAAAUCCCAAUGGGAGCUUUUGUAAGUGAAUGACAUUAAAAAGUUACUGGAACAGGAAAUAUUUCACUUUAAUAAACUAGAUGAGAUUUUUUUUAAAAAACACUAAUUAUAUAUUUUACAUUAUGGAAAGAGAUUAUAUAAUGUUAAAAAAUGUGUAUUAUAUUUAAAAAAAUAGUUACAGAAAGUAAAUGUUUUGUUUUCAUGUGA